AAUCCAUAGGUUAAUGAGGCGAACCGGGGGAACUGAAACAUCUAAGUACCCCGAGGAAAAGAAAUCAACCGAGAUUCCCCCAGUAGCGGCGAGCGAACGGGGAGGAGCCCAGAGCCUGAAUCAGCAUGUGUGUUAGUGGAAGCGUCUGGAAAGGCGCGCGAUACAGGGUGACAGCCCCGUACACAAAAGCGCAUGUGCUGUGAGCUCGAUGAGUAGGGCGGGACACGUGGUAUCCUGUCUGAAUAUGGGGGGACCAUCCUCCAAGGCUAAAUACUCCUGACUGACCGAUAGUGAACCAGUACCGUGAGGGAAAGGCGAAAAGAACCCCGGCGAGGGGAGUGAAAAAGAACCUGAAACCGUGUACGUACAAGCAGUGGGAGCACAGGUUUACCUGUGUGACUGCGUACCUUUUGUAUAAUGGGUCAGCGACUUAUAUUCUGUAGCAAGGUUAACCGAAUAGGGGAGCCGGAGGGAAACCGAGUCUUAAUUGGGCGUUAAGUUGCAGGGUAUAGACCCGAAACCCGGUGAUCUAGCCAUGGGCAGGUUGAAGGUUGGGUAACACUAACUGGAGGACCGAACCGACUAAUGUUGAAAAAUUAGCGGAUGACCUGUGGCUGGGGGUGAAAGGCCAAUCAAACCGGGAGAUAGCUGGUUCUCCCCGAAAGCUAUUUAGGUAGCGCCUCGUGAAUUCAUCUCCGGGGGUAGAGCACUGUUUCGGCUAGGGGGCCAUCCCGGCUUACCAACCCGAUGCAAACUGCGAAUACCGGAGAAUGUUAUCACGGGAGACACACGGCGGGUGCUAACGUCCGUCGUGAAGAGGGAAACAACCCAGACCGCCAGCUAAGGUCCCAAAGUCAUGGUUAAGUGGGAAACGAUGUGGGAAGGCCCAGACAGCCAGGAUGUUGGCUUAGAAGCAGCCAUCAUUUAAAGAAAGCGUAAUAGCUCACUGGUCGAGUCGGCCUGCGCGGAAGAUGUAACGGGGCUAAACCAUGCACCGAAGCUGCGGCAGCGACACUGUGUGUUGUUGGGUAGGGGAGCGUUCUGUAAGCCUGUGAAGGUGUGUCGUGAGGCAUGCUGGAGGUAUCAGAAGUGCGAAUGCUGACAUAAGUAACGAUAAAGCGGGUGAAAAGCCCGCUCGCCGGAAGACCAAGGGUUCCUGUCCAACGUUAAUCGGGGCAGGGUGAGUCGACCCCUAAGGCGAGGCCGAAAGGCGUAGUCGAUGGGAAACGGGUUAAUAUUCCCGUACUUGGUGUUACUGCGAAGGGGGGACGGAGAAGGCUAUGUUGGCCGGGCGACGGUUGUCCCGGUUUAAGCGUGUAGGUGUGUGUUCCAGGUAAAUCCGGUUCACUUUAACACUGAGGCGUGACGACGAGGCACUACGGUGCUGAAGCAACAAAUGCCCUGCUUCCAGGAAAAGCCUCUAAGCAUCAGGUAACAUCAAAUCGUACCCCAAACCGACACAGGUGGUCAGGUAGAGAAUACCAAGGCGCUUGAGAGAACUCGGGUGAAGGAACUAGGCAAAAUGGUGCCGUAACUUCGGGAGAAGGCACGCUGACACGUAGGUGAAGUGAUUUACUCAUGGAGCUGAAGUCAGUCGAAGAUACCAGCUGGCUGCAACUGUUUAUUAAAAACACAGCACUGUGCAAACACGAAAGUGGACGUAUACGGUGUGACGCCUGCCCGGUGCCGGAAGGUUAAUUGAUGGGGUCAGCGCAAGCGAAGCUCCUGAUCGAAGCCCCGGUAAACGGCGGCCGUAACUAUAACGGUCCUAAGGUAGCGAAAUUCCUUGUCGGGUAAGUUCCGACCUGCACGAAUGGCGUAAUGAUGGCCAGGCUGUCUCCACCCGAGACUCAGUGAAAUUGAACUCGCUGUGAAGAUGCAGUGUACCCGCGGCAAGACGGAAAGACCCCGUGAACCUUUACUAUAGCUUGACACUGAACAUUGAGCCUUGAUGUGUAGGAUAGGUGGGAGGCUUUGAAGUGUGGACGCCAGUCUGCAUGGAGCCGACCUUGAAAUACCACCCUUUAAUGUUUGAUGUUCUAACGUGGACCCGUUACCCGGGUUGCGGACAGUGUCUGGUGGGUAGUUUGACUGGGGCGGUCUCCUCCUAAAGAGUAACGGAGGAGCACGAAGGUUGGCUAAUCCUGGUCGGACAUCAGGAGGUUAGUGCAAUGGCAUAAGCCAGCUUGACUGCGAGCGUGACGGCGCGAGCAGGUGCGAAAGCAGGUCAUAGUGAUCCGGUGGUUCUGAAUGGAAGGGCCAUCGCUCAACGGAUAAAAGGUACUCCGGGGAUAACAGGCUGAUACCGCCCAAGAGUUCAUAUCGACGGCGGUGUUUGGCACCUCGAUGUCGGCUCAUCACAUCCUGGGGCUGAAGUAGGUCCCAAGGGUAUGGCUGUUCGCCAUUUAAAGUGGUACGCGAGCUGGGUUUAGAACGUCGUGAGACAGUUCGGUCCCUAUCUGCCGUGGGCGCUGGAGAACUGAGGGGGGCUGCUCCUAGUACGAGAGGACCGGAGUGGACGCAUCACUGGUGUUCGGGUUGUCAUGCCAAUGGCACUGCCCGGUAGCUAAAUGCGGAAGAGAUAAGUGCUGAAAGCAUCUAAGCACGAAACUUGCCCCGAGAUGAGUUCUCCCUGAGACUUAAAGUCUCC
rnacentral:rRNA from 1 species